CGCCGGAGUCGCAGGGAGCGCGUGCGCUCUACCUUCCCGAGCCCGGGAGGCGGAAGUGCGACCAAGUUGCCGCAGCUUUGGCCUCCCCAGGUUUCCUUCUCUCUCAUCCACUACCCAACUCCGAAUGUGAAUGUUAUAAGCCUGAACAAAAUAAAUGUAACUAAACAAUUGUGAAGAGGUCCCAGAAAGCAUGUUCACAGCCAAGAGAGGAAUUUUACCUCAGGAUGGAUCCUAUCUAGAGCCUCACCCAUACCUGAUCUAGGUGAUACUUAGAUGAGACUUUGGGCUUUAGACUUCAGAGUUGAUGAAAUGAGGUGGAUAAAACUCCCGACUCCAAGCUGUUGAGGAGAUGAUGUCCACUAGAUGGCACCAGACACAGACAUCUGCUCCUCCAGCUCUUGUUCUGCUGAGCUGGUAUGAUUGGAGAAGGGCUCUGCUGAAGGCCAGAGAUCUCCAUGCACUGUGGGAGGAAACUUCUGGAAGGACAGAUGACGCAACGGACCGCUGAUGUAGGGACAGAAACUUGGAAGUGCAGAAGAGUUCAAAUAGGGUUUUAACAAGUUUUUCUGUGUGAUAAGGAAUAUCAACAGUGCUUUUGCAAUUAGAUAAGCUUUACUGACAUCUGAGAACAGGUAGAGCAAGAAUAAAAUGGGCUGGGCAUUUGAAUUACAGCACUUUUUAACUUUUCUUUCUUGUCAUUCCCUUCUGUUACCUCGAAGCCUUCAAAUACAAACUUGUUUCAGAUAACUUAGUUAUAUAACUAUUUUGGGGAAUUAAGGGGGAGGUUUGUGGCCAUCUUUGGGCUGAAUAAUUAAACCAAUUGGAACAGAGUUUCAGAAGUAGGAUGAUAGGGUUUGUGAAACGUGCAGACCCUCCAUGGGAAUCCUCACUGAUAGAGAAUUCAGAUAAAAGUCUGGAAUGCGUACAGUUUCAUAAGAUGGAAGAUUUUGUCAUCUGGGUAUCAAAGAGCAGGACAGUCUCAGACAACUGGCCGUGGUCACACGCUAAGCCAGCGGAAGGCCUAGGGGCUGCAGGCCACUCCAGAGCAGGGAGGAGGUGAUAGCCUAACUGGGCAGAAGCGAAGA